AUUGAACGCUGGCGGCAGGCUUAACACAUGCAAGUCGAGCGGAAACGAUGGUAGCUUGCUACCAGGCGUCGAGCGGCGGACGGGUGAGUAAUACUUAGGAAUCUACCUAGUAGUGGGGGAUAGCACGGGGAAACUCGUAUUAAUACCGCAUACGACCUACGGGAGAAAGGGGGCAACUUGUUGCUCUCGCUAUUAGAUGAGCCUAAGUCGGAUUAGCUAGAUGGUGGGGUAAAGGCCUACCAUGGCGACGAUCUGUAGCUGGUCUGAGAGGAUGAUCAGCCACACCGGGACUGAGACACGGCCCGGACUCCUACGGGAGGCAGCAGUGGGGAAUAUUGGACAAUGGGGGCAACCCUGAUCCAGCCAUGCCGCGUGUGUGAAGAAGGCCUUUUGGUUGUAAAGCACUUUAAGCAGUGAAGAAGACUCCGUGGUUAAUACCCACGGACGAUGACAUUAGCUGCAGAAUAAGCACCGGCUAACUCUGUGCCAGCAGCCGCGGUAAUACAGAGGGUGCAAGCGUUAAUCGGAAUUACUGGGCGUAAAGCGAGCGUAGGUGGCUUGAUAAGUCAGAUGUGAAAUCCCCGGGCUUAACCUGGGAACUGCAUCUGAUACUGUUAGGCUAGAAUAGGUGAGAGGAAGGUAGAAUUCCAGGUGUAGCGGUGAAAUGCGUAGAGAUCUGGAGGAAUACCGAUGGCGAAGGCAGCCUUCUGGCAUCAUAUUGACACUGAGGUUCGAAAGCGUGGGUAGCAAACAGG
rnacentral:rRNA from 1 species